AUGUCUCGGAAAAUUGAGGAAAUCAAGGACUUUCUGCUCACAGCCUGACGAAAGGAUGCCAAAUCUGUCAAGAUCAAGAAAAAUAAGGACAACGUUAAGUUUAAAGUUCGAUGUAGCCCAUACCUUUACACCCUGGUCAUCACUGACAAAGAGAAGGCAGAGAAACUGAAGCAGUCCCUGCCCCCUUGUUUGGCAGUGAAGGAACUGAAAUGAACCAGACACACUGAUUGGAACUGUAUUAAAAUACUAAAAAUCCAAAAAAAAA